AAUACCUAGGUUCCUUGGGGGUGUUUGG
rnacentral:piRNA from 1 species